AGAAUCAACGCUGGCGGCGUGCCUAACACAUGCAAGUCGAUCGAGAAAGUGGAGCAAUCCAUGAGUAAAGAGGCGCACGGGUGAGUAACACGUGACUAACCUACCCUCGAGUGGGGAAUAACCUGGGAAAACCCGGGCUAAUACCGCAUAAUACCCACGGGUCAAAGGAGCAAUUCGCUUGAGGAGGGGGUCGCGGCAGAUUAGUUAGUUGGCGGGGUAAUGGCCCACCAAGACGAUGAUCGGUA
rnacentral:rRNA from 1 species